CACCAGUCAGCGGGGAUGUCUCCCAAGAUUAUAUUAGAUCUCCGAGUGAAACAAGUGUAAUGGUUGACCCUUGGAGUAAACACUGGAGAUUAACAGGAGACAAAUCUCUCAAGCUGCACAUAAAUUAUCAUUGGACUUUCGGAAACAGAGCAACCAUUGACAUCUUGAAUCUGAAGACAGUUCUGGUGGCCUAAACUUUUCAAGUAUAACAAUCUGAAGAUGCCCAUCUCCACAUUCCUGGCUUGGAAUCUUCACAAACUAAGGAAAACAUUGCCAUCA